AUCAUCUUAAUAAAAAUAUUAAAUCUGUUCUUAUCAGUUUAAUAUCUGAUAUGUCCUUUAUUUAAGGACUGUAUAUUAAAUUGAUUUUUGAAACAGGGGGAUGGAAUAGGAGCUUGCUCUAUCCACCCCAUGUAUUGACCUGGUAUUGCAGUGCUUCCAGGAACAGUGCAUUUCCU
rnacentral:snRNA from 1 species